UGGGGAAUAUUGGACAAUGGGCGCAAGCCUGAUCCAGCCAUGCCGCGUGAGUGAUGAAGGCCCUAGGGUUGUAAAGCUCUUUCACCGGUGAAGAUAAUGACGGUAACCGGAGAAGAAGCCCCGGCUAACUUCGUGCCAGCAGCCGCGGUAAUACGAAGGGGGCUAGCGUUGUUCGGAUUUACUGGGCGUAAAGCGCACGUAGGCGGACUAUUAAGUCAGGGGUGAAAUCCCGGGGCUCAACCCCGGAACGGCCUUUGAUACUGGUAGUCUUGAGUUCGAGAGAGGUGAGUGGAAUUCCGAGUGUAGAGGUGAAAUUCGUAGAUAUUCGGAGGAACACCAGUGGCGAAGGCGGCUCACUGGCUCGAUACUGACGCUGAGGUGCGAAAGCGUGGGGAGCAAACAGG
rnacentral:rRNA from 1 species